AACCCUCGAGAUCGCCUCUGAAACAGCAGAGGACGCCAUUUAACGAUAUGUUUGGCUGUUUUGUUGAAUAGAUUAAUUUUUAUCGUGUCUCUUGUUAAGGGAAUCAUGUUUUGAACGGACCUAAUAGUGUUGAAAAUGUGUGAAAAUGAUGUAGCUUCACACUAGUAAACAAGAAUUCAACAGUUAUGUGGUUCAAACUAUUGAUGUUGGUACAUUUAUGCGCAGCGUUUCCGCUGAAAUGCCCUGAACCAGCGCAAUGGGCACAACGUGCAAAUGGUUACUGUGCAGAUCCAUCAAAAUACUUUUGUCUAAAGAAUGACCUUAUCAACGGAUAUUCUGAGAACUGUACAAGGUCCGAUUUUCAGCAACCAGG